rnacentral:tRNA from 1 species
GGAUGGAUAGUUCAAGGGUUAGAACUCUUGUCCCCAAAACAGGCAAUAUUGGUUCAAGUCCAAUUCCAUCCACCA